GGGGUUGUGGCUCAGUGGUGGAGCGCUUGCCUUACACGUAUGAGACCCUGGGUUCCACCCUCAGCACCA
rnacentral:tRNA from 1 species